rnacentral:rRNA from 1 species
CCUACGGUAGUCAGCCGUGAGGAAUAUUUUUCAAUGGGCUUACGCCUGAACCAGCCAAGUCGCGUGAGGGAAGACUGCCCUCUGGGUUGUAAACCUCUUUUUUCAGGGAGCAACGCCGGCUACGUGUAGCCGGACUGAGAGUACCUGAAGCAACAGCAUCGUCUAACUCCGUGCCAGCAGCCGCGUUAAUACCGAGGAUGCGAGCGUUAUACGGAUUGAUUGGGCUUAAAGGGUGCGUAGGCGGAAUGCCAAGUCAGCGGUAAAAGCGCAGGGCUCAACAUCGCGCCGACGUUGAAACUGGCGUUCUUGAGUGGGCGAGAAGUAUGCGGAAGUCGUGGUGGAGCGGUGAAAGGCAUAGAUAUCACGCAGAACUCCGAUUGCGAAGGCAACAUACCGGCGCCCAACUGACGCUGAAGCACGAAAGCGUGGGUAUCGAACAGGAUUAGAUACCCCAGAAGUC